rnacentral:misc_RNA from 1 species
UUUUAGUUAUACGUGACAAAUGAAGUCUCUUAAAUGAUAAUAUUAAUAAUUCACUCCUGAUAAUACAAAAGUCUUGUUAUUUCACACCUACUCACCUCCAGUCUUUCAAACCAUGACAUCCAAGGUGGAAGAGGAGGAAGAAGAAAAUAUUCGAAGACUCCGGGAGUCUCUCACCCAUUUCUUCUUAAGGGAUGUAAAGAAAUGGUAUGAGUUGAUAUUUGAUCUCAUAAAACUCUUUGUUCUCUCAGUUGUGUUAUAUCAUUUUGGAGUUGAGCGCUAUAGAGUCACUUCCUACUAUACUUUUAAUGAAAAUGCCUUACAAAAUAUAUUUUUCCCUACUGGGCAAGUCCUGAAGGAAUUUGAUUUAAGGCCACGGGAAGUGGGUAUAUUAGCAGUUACAGACAUACGACAAAUAACCAAGAUCAUUGACUAUAUCAUAAUAACAUUGGAUGAAUUGGAUGAGUAUAGUUUAUACUACUCCAAAGGAUCAAAUGCCUCCAUUUGUCUGAGUAGAGAGAAUACAACAUGUAAUGUAUUGGACAAUACUAAGGGAUUUGCCUCUCAGAAAUGGCUUCAAAUUCAUUUUUCCUUCAUCCCAAUGAAAAAUGCAAAUCUUGAAUACAUUUCCUUAAAUUUCUAUGUCAAAGCUAGAGUAGGGGGGUGCUCAAAGACCGAUUUUCAAAGUGAUUGUUCUCUUUGACAAUUCUCACCAUGAUGGAAUGAUGCCAUUGAAUUUGAAAAUUGAUUAUGAGCCCUCCAUUUUCUCGCUUCCACCUUUGAAGAACGAACGGGAUCAGCACUGGAUCUGUCUUUUUUCGGUAAUUAUGUCUCUGGUUUCUUUACUAAGAGGAGUAUGGAAAGUAUACAAUGGAGUUUUCCUCGGAAUAAUGACGAAAAAGAUUUUUGAGAGAAAAUUCAAAUGGAAAAUGGAGUUUUAUGAGAAAUGUGCAUUUCUCCAUUUAAGCAACAUAUUUUUAAUUUUUGGAUGUAUUCUAAAUAUCCUCGGAUGCUAUUACAUCAUUGAUCUUCGAUUAUCUCGCGUGAUUGAUCCUAAGAAAUGGGAUUUUGGAGCCGUCAUGAUGUCCCUCACUUACUUCUCCUCCAUUUUUCAUCUCACCACCUAUAUGGAGCGAAACAAACCAAACAUUCUUCUCAUGACCAUUAAAUACUCUCUACCUAAAUUUAUCAGAUUUUUAGCUCCGGCAUCCUGCGUUUAUUUUGCUUUUGUUUUGACGGCCUGGAUCGUUAUUGGUCCCUAUCAUCCCAAGUUUCGAGAAAUUGAAAAAACCUCAGAGUCUCUUUUCUCUCUUAUUAAUGGGGAUGACAUGUUUCCAACGUUUACUUCCUUGUCCAGACUAGCAAGUCCUCUCAUCAUCGUGUUCUCCAAACUCUUUCUUUAUUUCUUCAUUAUUCUAUUUAUAUAUCUACUUCUGAGUAUCACAAUCUCUAUAUCAUCAACUACUUUUGAACAUAUUAGUAAAAAGUAUGAAGAGGAUCCGGAUUGGAGAAUAAAGGAAAUGAGAAAUCAGCGGCUUCAUGCUUUUUAUAUGGACAAUUGUCAAGAUGAAGUUAAAAAAUACUAGGGGAAUGGAAUCUUCUUUAAUUCGAAUCCUGAAUUGUCUUCCUAGGUACAUACAACGACCAACGGAAAUACGGGAUGGUUUAAACUUUAUUUUAAGAUCUUGGAUGAUUUUGAGGAUAGCUAAUGACUAAUUAAUUAUUUCGAUUCACGUUCCGUUUUCAU